GGGCAUUCUCGUCUUUUGUCGUUUUGCGUGCCGGACACUGUGGAGUGUGCUGGUUAUGUCCUAGAGUUGUUUGGGACAUUUCAUUGAGUUCAGAACUCUUUGAAUUGUAAGGGUGAUCAUUCUUGCAUUUUUUCAUUUUUCGGGCUGGAAGGUUCCGCGUGGAACCCGCUACCGGAAUUGUUGUUCACGAAAAUUUUAGUUGGGUCCAUUUGCAUCAUAUUUAUUUUGUUUAGUGUGUUAUAUGAAGUUGUGAAAUUAUUUAAUAUGUAUUUAUAUAUGUAUGUAGUGUAAAAAAAAAAGAAAAAAGAAAAAAAGAAAAGAAAAGAAUGGUAGGACCAACUAAUAUCAAACUUAAGGCCAACAAAACACUAGUUGGUCUCUAUUUUCUUUCUUCUCUCCCGUUGGCUUCUCUCACUCUCUCUCAAGCUUCGGUUUUCUUUUCUUUUUUUUUUCUUUCUUUUUCUUCUUCAAACUUCAGUCCUAGAUUUCUCUUUCAACUUUUGAUAUUUUUAAGAGCCGCUUGCGGCAAUUUGAAGAGCACAGCAAGAUCUUCACAUCCAUAUAAGCAAUUUCAGUUUUAGUACACUCUAGGGAUUCUGGUUUUGAGACCCAUUUUAGGGGUUUUUGCUUGAUUUGAGGACAUGGAAAAGAGGUGGCGAAUGACCAUCCACCACAAGUUUAGACGGGAUUGGAAAUUUAUAUUUUGCUAUUUUUAUUUUACAACUUUAAUAUUUUGUAAAUGUAAAUUUUGACUAUUAAAACUUUAGUAUAAUUUCGUGGACUAUAAACUUUAGUAUAAUUUCAUGGACUAUAAAUUAUUGUUUUCUU